AAUAACCUGAAAUGCUCGAUCAUUCCUAUUAUUUUGAACCUACAGUUACUUGAAAAGGGAUUCCUAUAUUGUCUGAUGGAUGUCAGGCCUCCGGAUGAAAAUCUAUGCAGGGGAAGGCAGAAGUCAUGAUUGCGGUUACCCACCUGGCGUUUGCUAGGAGUCAAAAGAUAGGAACCGGCAUUUCGGCAAACAA
rnacentral:other from 1 species